GAAAUGCGAUAAGUAAUGUGAAUUGAAGAAUUCAGUGAAUCAUCGAAUCUUUGAACGCACCUUGCGCUCCUUGGUAUUCCUUGGAGCAUGCCUGUUUGAGUAUCAUGAAAUCUUCAAAGUAAAUCUUUUGUUAACUCAAUUGGUUUCUACUUUGGUAUUGGAGGUCUUUGCAGCUUCACACCUGCUCCUCUUUGUUCAUUAGCUGGAUCUCAGUGUUAUGCUUGGUUCCACUCGGCGUGAUAAGUUAUCUAUCGCUGAGGACACUGUAAAAGGUGGCCAAGGUAAAUGCAGAUGAACCGCUUCUAAUAGUCCAUUUACUUGGACAAUACUUUUAUGAUCUGAUCUCAAAUCAGGUAGGACUACCCGCUGAACUUAAGC
rnacentral:misc_RNA from 1 species